rnacentral:rRNA from 1 species
GACGAACGCUGGCGGCGCGCUUAACACAUGCAAGUCGAGCGAGAACCAGGGCUUCGGCCCUGGGGACAGCGGCGAACGGGUGAGUAACACGUGGAUAACCUGCCCUCGGCACCGGGAUAGCCCGGGGAAACCCGGAUUAAUACCGGAUGGCCCUUCCGGCUCACGAGCCGGUCGGAAAAGGUAGCUUCGGCCUCCGGCCGAGGACGGGUCAGCGGCGGAUUAGCUUGUUGGUGGGGUAACGGCCCACCAAGGCUCCGAUCCGUAGCUGGUCUGAGAGGACGAUCAGCCACACUGGGACUGAGACACGGCCCAGACUCCUACGGGAGGCAGCAGUGGGGAAUCUUGCGCAAUGGGCGAAAGCCUGACGCAGCGACGCCGCGUGAGGGAGGAAGGCCUUCGGGUUGAAAACCUCUUUCAGGAGGGACGAAGCUACUCGGGUGAAUAGCCCAGAGGGUGACGGUACCUCCAGAUGAAGCCCCGGCUAACUACGUGCCAGCCGCCGCCGUAA